GACAUCUACAUUAUCGGCCUUCCGAUAACAGGUAUGCUGCUGUUUGGUGUUAGCAGUUUCCUGAUCGCAAAAUUCAACUGACGGGAGCGGCUCUAUUGGAAGUGAAGAGGCUGCCGGUCUAAGGAUGGCAUAGUGCGGAUGUCCAACACUCAGACUCAGACUGUGCUCAACCAUAAACUGUUGCGGUUUUGGAGCGUCUCUGCAAAAUGGUCAAGAACUUGGAGAAACUGGAAUCCGUGCUCAAAUACUGACAGAAAUCACGGAUUUGGCUGAUCGACACCACUAAAGAGACAUAAGCCACGGACUCAAGGCUGUCUUAAAUUCUUGGGCAGCCUGCUACCAAAACAACAUCUGCUAUCUCGACCUUCCCCUGAUGAAAGUAUGCACGGAAGCUAGUCCCCCACCAUCACCCCCUCCCUCAUACACUCCCUUGUAUCACCGUCUUCAUUGUUUAUGUCUUGUGACCUGUUGUAACUGUCACAUGCUUGUGCAGGAGUUUUUUGCCUAACUCAAAUUAUCCUCAAAAUGAGGAUAGUUCGUGGGUGGUGUUUUUUUUCCCCCA